GACGGACGCUGGCGGCGUGCUUAACACAUGCAAGUUGAACGGAAAGGCCCUGCUUUUGUGGGGUGCUCGAGUGGCGAACGGGUGAGUAACACGUGAGUAACCUGCCCUUGACUUUGGGAUAACUUCAGGAAACUGGGGCUAAUACCGGAUAGGAGCUCCUGCUGCAUGGUGGGGGUUGGAAAGUUUCGGCGGUUGGGGAUGGACUCGCGGCUUAUCAGCUUGUUGGUGGGGUAGUGGCUUACCAAGGCUUUGACGGGUAGCCGGCCUGAGAGGGUGACCGGCCACAUUGGGACUGAGAUACGGACCAGACUCCUACGGGAGGCAGCAGUGGGGAAUAUUGCACAAUGGGCGGAAGCCUGAUGCAGCAACGCCGCGUGCGGGAUGACGGCCUUCGGGUUGUAAACCGCUUUCGCCUGUGACGAAGCGUGAGUGACGGUAAUGGGUAAAGAAGCACCGGCUAACUACGUG
rnacentral:rRNA from 1 species